UACGGGGGACGCGAGCGUUAUCCGGAUUUAUUGGGUUUAAAGGGUGCGUAGGCGGCGAUAUAAGUCAGUGGUGAAAUAUUUCGGCUUAACCGAGAGACUGCCAUUGGUACUGUGUUGCUAGAAUAUGGUUGCUGUGAGUGGAAUGUGUGGUGUAGCGGUGAAAUGCUUAGAUAUCACACAGAAUAUCGAUUGCGAAGGCAGCUCACAAAGCCAUUAUUGACGCUGAGGCACGAAAGUGUGGGGAUCAAACAGG
rnacentral:rRNA from 1 species